rnacentral:lncRNA from 13 species
AUGAAUUCUCUCGUUGGCUAUGGCGUGUCCUCUGAUUCUGACAGCGAUGGGGAUAUUGGAAACGACAAGAAGACUGAGAGCAAGGUGGAUGGAGAGACCCAGAAGAAGGGCCGCAAUUUCCUCCUAGAGUCCGGGUCAGCCUCCAGUGAGUCAGACUGUGACUUCGACCCAGAGGAAGAGGGGGACACCGUAUCUCAACUAAAACCUAAACGCCCUCCUCCUGCCUGUAUGGCACCCCCCUCUGAGUCCCGGACCCCUCUCCUCCCCGCACCCCCUAGUUCCCUCUCCCACAAACUCCCCCCUCCACCCCUCGGGGCCUCGUCCAAGAGUGGCGUAUUCGCCAACCCCUUCAAGGCGCAAGCCGACCAGAAGCUCAAUGUCUUGCAGAAGCACGUCCCUCUCACUCUGCUGGCCCGGCCCUCCCAGAUAGGAGGCAAGAGGAUGUGCGUGGCGUACAGGAAGGACGGACGCUGCAGGUUCGGGAUCAAAUGCAAGUUUGCCCAUGACAGCGACCUCCAAAGCUCCAUCAUUCCCAAUGACUAUGACCCCCCUGCGGGUGACGAUCCUGGAUCGGACCAAGCUGACCCCAACGGGGGGGGAUUUUCAUACACGGGUCGCCAGAACUUUCACCAAAACCAGGGAGGAGACCCUGAAGAGGAGGGUCAGCAGUCUAGGAAGAGGAGAGUAGGGCUGAGUAACACCCUAGUGCCUCCUAAAAGGUCAAUGAAGAAUUAUGCAAUGCAGAGGAAGAGAGAACAGGUCAAAUUGAACUGAGUGACUUGCAAAGGGAUACUGUCAGCAGCAAUAGUGUGUGUGUGUGUGUGUGUGUGUGUGUGUGUGUGUGUGUGUGUGUGUGUCCUCACAUCGUUUUAGUGUGUGACAGAUAAAAUGGGAAUGUGUUCCAAUUUCUGUACCCUUAUUCUGCACUCAUUUACUCCCCCUCAUGGAUGUAAAAGGAAUGGACUGGUGUAAAAUAGGGUUUAAACUUCUCCCUACCCAUGAUUACUUCACUGUAAUGGAGUGCGCAAGUGCAACCUUCUGUUAGAAGAGAAGAUAAUCAGACCACAGCCAGAGAGCAUUCAUAUAGGAUACCUAUAGCACACUUCUAAACUUCUGUUCAGUCCAGUACAUAUACUUCAGAUUGGUAGUUUCUACAUGAAACGUUUUUUGUAGUUUCAUUAAAAACUUAUUCCUUUCUGUAAGAAACUGUCCAUUGGAAAUAUAAGCUACAAUUUAUCAUUGUUAAAUAAAUGCUUUAAAUGUUUGUAACUUGUGUUUGUGACCACUUAAUGAUGAAUGGGAAUAGGAACUGGAGAUACGAAUAAAGUUAUGGAUCGGGUUUAGGAAAAUGUAGAAUUAUUGAUUUUAAAGUGGAUUUUAAACGGUUUUGCUUUGAUUAGAGAAAGAUUGAAAGAAGAGGCAGCACAGGGUUACUUUUUUGGAUCAGUUGCAACACACUCCGGCAUCAGUCACAAUGUAAGCACACACACUUAGCUCCUGCUUUUUUGGGAUGAACCCUCAACCCUCAAUAUCGAUAACAUCCAAAAAUGAUCAAGGUUGUCACAAGAAACAGGACAAUCAGUAACAACAAUAAUCAAUAAUGUUUUUAUUUUACUAAGGCACCUUGGCUGACUGACUCCCAGCAUUCUCUGCAUUGAUUGUAAAGUUGCUCUUCAUACAAGCAUCUGCUAAAUGACUAAAAUAUCACAUGUAAAUGUACUAGUAGUGUAGACAGUGUUGAGUUAGCCUGGGCGCCAUGUCUUUUUGAUCUGACAAUUCCACAAGCAGUUGGCUAGAGAGCAGAAACGCUCCUUACGAGGAGUGAUGCUCCGAGGAGGCUAAGGAGUCCGGAGAGAACAGGGAGGUGCAGAAGCGCUUCAGCAAAAAGGUCAAAGGUCAGUAACACUUUUUUUGGUGAAUUUUCUUUAAUAAACACGAGUUAAAUACUGGGAUUGGGACAGACAAUAGGCUUUACAGAACGACUCUUCUGAUCCUCACUCGGACACACGGACACUCAUAAGUCACCUAAUAGAGAUAAAACCUACCAGCUCCAGUGGAUUGUGGGAAGCGGGUGAUGCAGUUUUUGUUUCUUUACUGAUUUAAAAGCACCUGCUCACUAAGCUUGCCAAGUAUCACUUGUGUCUAUUCAGCUUACUGUACAUAUAAAAUGGAUUGGAUUGUUAUUUACUCUGUUGUGAACAGAGCUGUGUCGUGCAGUGAGGAGCAGCGUGUGGACAAAGGACACCAGUGCUCACCAGCACGGCCCUGAGGAACUAGUGGAUGAAGAGGAUCUCUACAAGAAGGUCUGUAACACCUGUGGACACGAACUGUCCUAUGAGAAGAUGUAGCUUUUAGUGUCCUUUAAACCUUAUCUCGGGGUCCCACAGGGUGAGUUAUUUGUGGACCACUGGUAGACGCCGGACACGAAACUGAGAUUCAAAUGACUUACGAUGUACUUGACCCAAAUCCUUGCUGAAGCAAGGAGGCAGGCCUUUCUGAAAUCUUAUACAUGCCAUACACAAUGUGGCCACAAGAGGGCAAACACAUGAACAUUCCUCUCUCUACAUGUUGUGCUGCUCAGAAGCUGGGUAUAGCUGUCAUACUACAACAUAUCAACUUAAUAAUUUACCUUUUAUAUUGACCAUUUGUAAGAUAAUGUAAUAUGUAGAAGGAUCUAUGUCUGAAAAAUUUGAUGUUUUUAGUUGGAUUACUGUGGAUAAAUAAAGCCAGGAUUCAAUCUAGAGUGGACCGUGGAAGUUCCCGAAAGUGAUUUCCGAUUGAGCCGACUUAUGCAGCAUUUACUUUGAAUUUGUGAUUUCAGGGACCUCUGUAACAUCGCCAUAAACAUCUCAUGCCUGAUCUACAGGCUUGAUUCGAUCAGAUCAAGUGAUAGCCGACACCCGCUCAGCUGGUGUUUCGGUGGUGUAACUGCGUUAAUGCUGUCGAGUCAGUGAGCAGCUGCUCGCGGGGUCAUUGUCACGAAGACACACCCGUCCCACUUGCAUUAGAUGUUCAGACUGAGAAAGUGUAGAGGGUAUAUAGAAACAAUGAGACUCCGAUUGAAAAUCAUUCAACAAAUUUGAGAAUUUCUAUCAACCUGAUCAUGGUUCGGGCUAGAUCUCACGUUCCAGUGUUCGAACUUGUAAACAAGGCUGCACGGAGAUUUCUUUCAAUGUGACUCUGUGCAGCCAGUGUCAACUCUUUGUAUAAUGCCGUUUGCCGCUUGUGGAUUGGACAGCUAUAACGCAGUUCCAACACCGCUAUAAGGGUGUUGGCUAACACAGAUCUGAACGGCUGUUUUGUUCCUGUUUUCUUUGUUUGCCAUGGAAAAUUCAGGACUAGUAUGGUGAUCCUGGUAUCAUGAGAACCAGAGGAGGAUGGUGGGAGGAGGGGCUCAUUGUAAUGGCAUAUUGGAAGAGUCAAACACACGGGAACAACGUGUUUGACUCAAUUCCAUUCCAGCCAUUACAAUGACGUCCUGUGUGAAUUUAAGUAUGCUCUCUCUAAUUCUCUUUCUUUCGGAGGAGGACCUGAGUCCUAGGACCAUGCCUCAGGACUACCUGGCAUGACUCCUUGCUGUCCCCAGUCCACCUGGCUGUGCUGCUGCUCCAGUUUCAACUGUUCUGCCUGUGGCUAUGGAACCCUGACCUGUUCACCGGACGUGCUACCUGUCCCAGACCUGUUGUUUUCAACUCUCUAGAGACAGCAAAAACAUGUUCUCUGAUUUAUGCCCUUACUAAUUUUUUUUAGGUAGAGAUACUCUGAAUGAUCGGCUAUGAAAAGGCAACUGACAUUUACUCCUGAGGUGCUGACCUGUUGCACCCUCGACAACUACUGUGAUUAUUAUUAGACCAUGCUGGUCAUUUAUGAACAUUUGAACAUCUUGGCCAUGUUCUGUUAUAAUCUCCACCCAGCCCAGGCAGAAGAGGACUGGCCACCCCUCAUAGCCUGGUUUCUUCCUAAGUUUUGGCCUUUUCUAGGGAGUUUUUCCUAGCCACCGUGCUUCUACAUCUGCAUUGCUUGCUGUUUUAGGCUGGGUUUCUGUACAGCACUUUGAGAUAUCAGCUGAUGUAAGAAGGGCUAUAUAAAUACAUUUGAUUUGAAUAAGCCCAUCCUCCUAUAGCUCCUCCCACCAGCCCCUGAUGAAAACACUAAUCUAACACACAAACACAGAAGGCCAGUUGAUGGGUAUAGAUGGCUACAUCACUUUAUGUACAAAGGCAACAACUCACACACAACUGCCCUGAUGCGGGUAGAUCUAAAAAGCUACCAAAAGUGACUAUAAAUACAUAUUUCUGUGAUCCUAUAUAUUUCAAAUGAUGCCACAAUACAUUAGGAGGGACAUAGCUAGACCUCUCCCUUAAAUACUGUCUUUCCACAUCGUUCGCAGUUUCCCCUAACCUCAAUCCAGACUGAAUCAUGUUAUUUCACUUUCCUAAUUAGUGAUAGUACAGUGAAACAGAGCUGAAUUCAGUUGGAAUUUCCAGACUAGUCUCCC